rnacentral:rRNA from 1 species
GAAAUGCGAUACGUAAUGUGAAUUGCAGAAUUCAGUGAAUCAUCGAAUCUUUGAACGCACCUUGCGCCCCUUGGUAUUCCGAGGGGCACACCCGUUUGAGUGUCGUGAACACCCUCAACCUUCUUGGUUUCUUGACCAGGAAGGCUUGGACUUUGGAGGUUUUUCUUGCUGGCCUUUCUUUCAAGCCAGCUCCUCCUAAAAGGAUUAGUGGGGCUCGCUUUGCCGAUCCUUGACGUGAUAAGUAUGCUUCUACGUCUUGGGUUUCAAAUGAACCUGCUUCAAACCGUCUUUGAAUAAAGACAACGUUCGAGUUGCAUUGUGACUCAAACACAGUAACCUUGACCUCAAAUCGGGUGAGACUACCCGCUGAACUUAA